GGAAUGAAUGAGCUCCUGGGUAAUAAUGAUGUUAUCUUGAAUGUGGCGACCUGGAACAAAGCUCGACUGGUUGGGGGAAAUAAGAUCCAACAUGAAUUGUUGCAGUCUGUUCGCAAUGAGCUUAGUAACAAUCUUUUAGGAGACAAUACAAAGACUGAUGGGUCUAAAGUGUUGAAUUGUCCCCAGAUUCGAAUUCUUCGGAAUAAGGACCAGUAAAGUGGAAUCAACAUCAUCCAUGGAUUUUCCAUAGUCGAAAACCCCCUUAACAAACUCCCGAACAGAGGAAGAAACAACAUCCCAGUUAGCUUGAUAGAAUACCGAUUGAUAAGCAUCUGGUCUACGAGCCUUAAAUGCAUGCAUAGCAAAGAUAGCCCUCCGAAUCUCCUCCGGAGUAACUGAUUCAUCAAAGGAUUGCACUGCCUCUUGUGGAAUCACCGAAAGCUGGUGCUCAGUAUUCAAGAGGACCGAUUCUGAUUGCUCAUCGUAAUGGCCUUGGAAGUGACGUACAGCCACUUGUCGGAGACGAUUCUUGUCGAAAAUCCAGACCCCUCCCUCAUCUUUAAGCGAAUCAACAUGGAUCCUCUUCCUUCUAAUAAUCGCCUUCGUAUGAAAAUAGGUAAGGUUUCGGUCUCCAAACGUAAUCCAAUUACUCCUUCACUUUUGAUACCACAAAAUUUCCUCUUGGAGCAGAUGGCAUCUAAUUCCCGAAGUAGUUCUGCCUCGAGGCUGACAAGGAAAGGAUUAGGCCUGAGUUGGAGAGACUGUUGAAUCCCAGCUAAGCGGGGCCAUGGUGUUACUGCAAAACGUAUGUAGAUUACGAUCUCGAACUUUAAGCUUGAAAUCUUCUAACCCCUGAGCAAGUCCAAGGUGACUAGGCCAUGCCGAUCUAAAGAAUUAUGGGAAAUCCUUGUGAGUAAGUGACGCUACCAAAUAACGGAAAGGUCUUCUAUCUGCACGUGGUAGACCAAAGCCAAGAGAGUCCAGAAGUAUUGGGUGAUGAUCAGAGUUCACCCUAGCGAGAACCCGAACAGCAGCUUCAGGGAGCAUAGUUCUCCAGCUCCCAUUGCAUUCUAUCACCCACUAUGAUCAAGCCACUGCGACUACCAUAUCAUUGCGUCUCUGUCGACCCAGUUCCCGCGUCCUCUAUACCUCGUCCCGAGCUUCUUUUCAGCUCACCCAUGAGCUCCGAGCCACCUCGAGCCCCUCCUCUCCGCUUCGAUGAAUUCAACCCGAGCUCCUCGAGCUUCCUUCGUCCGAACCCAUAGCCUAAGUCUCACUUCUUCCUCUCGCUUACUCAAUCUCUUUUCUGCCUACGUUUUAUCUCGUAUGCUCGUCUCUGUCUCCUCUUCUCCCUUGCAGCUCCAACGAAGCUCCGGCCGCCGCCAUCUACCACUGAUCUGAGCCCGUCCCAGUCGAACUCUCCAUCUCGAGCUCAGCUAGAACACCACAGCAGCAGCCAUCAGCUUGCUACCUCCCCAUCCUCGAGGUAACGGAACCCCGAUGAGAUUCUUGCAUCACGGCCUUGACAAACCCGGUACCUCCACGAGCCUACCCCUGUCCGACCACUCAUGCAGAGCCAAGCCCUCUCUCCUCCUCUUUGUCUCUCGAUCUAUCUCCGUUUGUCCAUCUCUGCUGCUAUGAUCAUUACUCUUGAAGGUACCGAAGCCCAAUGGUCGUGUCCAUGGAGGCAUUCCUGCCCAGCGACCUCAGCUCGAGGAGUCUUGACUCUGUCAAGUUCUCUUUGUCUUCCCAUCAGCAGCAAACUCGCUGUUGCAGCCUCGACUCCUCCAAUUUCCAAGUUCAGCAGCUGUGGCCUGACUCUUAAGAGGGCUUGGGAUCGUUUCGCGGAUUUUGAUGAUUGAAACCAGAGGGAGUCAAGGGCUGAGAUACUCCUUGUUUCCUUGAUCAUUUGGAGACUUAGUUUACUUGAUUUUGUUCACUAAAGAUUGAGUUUGAGGUAAGUGGUCAGUUUUAUUGCAGCUCUUUGAUUGAUUCGAGCAUGUUCGGCAUGACAUCAAUGAGUUGAACUCGAGUUUGAGGCAGUGGCUGAAUUGCAUGAUAAUUCUUGUAUGAUUCGAGAUGUUUUUAGCAUAUGAUCUCGAAGGCUUUAUGCUACGUGUAAACGAGUGGCUGAAUAAAUGGUCAGGAUUGCUUGAUGGGGUCACCCUUAAUAACAUGAAAUGGGUCGCUUUUGAAGCAAGAUGCCUUUUGGACCUCUCUCUGUUAUGUUCCAUGACCUAUUAGUCUCUUUAAAGUCAACAUGUUGGAUUUCAGUACGCUGAUCAGCCUUUAUUAAGGUCCUUAGAGACUUGUUUUGGCCACCUUACCAUCGUUGGAUAAGUUGUCCUCGUGUCUAGACAAUUUAGGACAGCUCCCUUGUUGCAUUUCGUGCCAUUUCGGUCUUUCCAAUGUCAAUUUAGGACACUUUCCAGUUCUGGCCAGAUUUAUUAUUGGAGUUUUGAGGCUCAGUUUGAUCACAUGUGAGGAGUAGGAAAGAUGUUUUGGUGCUUUUGUCUCCUUUGCUUACUCUUUCUUACGUCUUUCCUGGUUAACGAUGCAAUCGAUAAAUACUUAAUUGAGUUUUUGAAUGAUGGAUGAAUGAAAUGGGUUUCAAUCUUGGACUUGAUUGUGACAUGUUAGCUCGAGUAAUUUAUAAAAUUGCAAUUUCCUACUUCCUUCCUCUUUAUUCUUUCUUUUCUUUUUCUUGCAUGUCAACACAAGUAAAAGAAGAGAAGAUGGGAAGAGGCUCGAGAAGUUAGGGGAUGGCGGCUAUCCUAAGGUUAGGAUAUGUCGGGACUUGAAGGCUACAAUGCGCCCCCGUGGUCGUGGAUUGUGGAACACCUAUUGAGCUAGACUCCCGAAAACCUUUCAGGAAUGUUUUGAUGAUAACUUGGGGAAUGAAUGGAAAGAGAGUCUUGUAAACACAAAUUUAGGGAAAUGGGAGUACAACACAAAUUUAGACA